rnacentral:lncRNA from 1 species
GCUGCCUGGAGCCAUGGAGCUGAUCCCGCCGGUGGACCUGGGCACCUGGAGGGCCUCUCCAGGAGAAGUGACUCAGGCUGUGAAGGUGGCCAUCGAUGCGGGCUACCGACGCUUCGACUGCGUACUUAUACCAGAACGAGAGUGACAUAGGAGAGGGAUCCAGUGCCAGCUCCUCAAGGGCGUUGUGAGACAAGAGGACCUGCUCGUUGUCAGCAAGCCAGGGCUUCUCUCCUCCUGGAAACGUCAACGUGCCUGUGGAUCGCAGUGGCAUGGUUGUACCCAGCGACACAGACGUCCUGGACACGGAGGCCCAAAGUACAUCAGUGGAGCCAGUGGACCAUGGACUAACACCUCUGAAACAAGGAGCCAAAAUAAACCUUCCCUCCCUUGGAUUGUUCAUCUCAGUGUCCACAUCUUGAGGAGACCCAUGAGGACGUCCACGUGCGGGUCCAGAGAGGUGGUGCUGUGAACCCACCCCUCAGGCUGACCUCAGGUCUAGGCCUCCGACUGAAAACCUCCUACUGAAGUCUAUGCGUGUGUAGGGAUUUGGGAACUGUCUGUGCAUGUUUUCCAGGAUCUAGUAAUUAACAGGGCACUCCUACUUCCCCAGCCCACUUUGCCACGCCCUGAUUUCCUAUGUCACUACAUCAAUUGCACUAUCAGCCAGAUGUUUAGGCCCUUGUCAAAAUGAAUGUUCUAAGCCCAGAAACACAAAAACAGAUCAAAGGAGAAAAGAGAAAAGAAAAGUAAGAAAAACUAAUUGUGUGUCUGUGAAAUCCAAAUAGCCUAAGUCCAUAAGCCCAAAAGAGUUCAAACAACAUGGUUUGUAUGCAUUCAAGCACCAUAUGUAUGGUACAAGGGUCAAUAAAUUUGUGCUAAAUUAGUGCUUGUAUAAUAAAUCCAGCUCGCUGUCUUUUGCAAAUAACAUUUUGACGAUGCAAGCUCCUGUUUUUCUCUAGGUUCUACCACUGAGAUUUAACCCCACCUCCUGUAUGUAAAGUUUUGUUUGAAUGUGGCCACAUCCAUUUGUCAGCAGCCUGGGUCUGAGGGUGCUUGAGGCUGACAUAAGGAACUUAACCCACCCUUUUAAAAUAAGUAUGCAGUUUUGCCUUUUCACCAAAAAAGGAUUUUUAGGAUGCAUCAGUGAAAGAGGCCUGAAAAGGAUUUAUUAGAGGAUGCGCUAGAGGGCAGUGUUGGUGCUCAGAGAAAUGAAGUAAGCUUCAGCUGGGAACUGGGGAUCCUUCAUGGGUUUGGCAGGUGGAAAUCUGUGGAAUUUGAUAAUCUUUAGUCUUAGUCCUGGAGGGACAGGAUGUGACACCACUAGUGAAGUCAUGGUCUAUUCCUAGGGGAAAUCCCAAAAGGGAGGUCCAUUCACAGGUGAAAGAGGACCAUUUGCAAGUGAGAGGGAAGGGCAGACCCCUCUGCAGAAGAGAGGGACUUCCCCAUGUUUACUGUUUCAGGAGAAGGAAAAAAGUCAACAAACCAGGCUAGUGUUCUGGAGCUGCAGUUUUUCUUUAAAGUACCAUUUUUAAAAUUCUAUUUCCUU